rnacentral:rRNA from 1 species
AUACGUAGGUGGCGAGCGUUGUCCGGAAUUACUGGGCGUAAAGGAUGCGUAGGUGGAUAUUUAAGUGGGAUGUGAAAUCCCCGGGCUCAACCCGGGAACUGCAUUCCAAACUGGGUAUCUAGAGUGCAGGAGAGGAAAGCGGAAUUCCUAGUGUAGCGGUGAAAUGCGUAGAUAUUAGGAGGAACACCAGUGGCGAAGGCGGCUUUCUGGACUGUAACUGACACUGAGGCAGGAAAGCGUGGGUAGCAAACAGAAUUAGAUCCCCUGGUAGUCCACGCCGUAAACGAUGGGUACUAGGUGUAGGAGGUAUCGACCCCUUCUGUGCCGUCGUUAACACAAUAAGUACCCCGCCUGGGGAGUACGGUCGCAAGACUAAAACUCAAAUGAAUUGACGGGG